rnacentral:rRNA from 1 species
AUUGAACGCUGGCGGCAGGCCUAACACAUGCAAGUCGAACGAGUGGCGGACGGGUGAGUAAUGUAUGGGAAACUGCCUGAUGGAGGGGGAUAACUACUGGAAACGGUAGAUAAUAACGAAUACCAUAGGAUGUGCCCAGAUGGGAUGAGCUAGUAGGUGGGGUAAAGGCUCACCUAGGCGACGAUCCCUAGCUGGUCUGAGAGGAUGACCAGCCACACUGGAACUGAGACACGGUCCAGACUCCGACGGGAGGCAGCAGUGGGGAAUAUUGCACAAUGGGCGCAAGCCUGAUGCAGCCAUGCCGCGUGUAUGAAGAAGGCCUUCGGGUUGUAAAGUACUUUCAGCGGGGAGGCGUUACCCGCAGAAGAAGCACCGGCUAACUCCGUGCCAGCAGCCGCGGUAAUAC